UACGUAGGGGGCAAGCGUUGUCCGGAAUCAUUGGGCGUAAAGAGCGUGUAGGCGGCCAGCUAAGUCCGCUGUGAAAACUCGAGGCUCAACUUCGAGCUGUCGGUGGAAACUUUCUGGCUAGAGUCCGGAAGAGGAGAAUGGAAUUCCUGGUGUAGCGGUGAAAUGCGCAGAUAUCAGGAAGAACACCCGUGGCGAAGGCGGUUCUCUGGGACGGUACUGACGCUGAGACGCGAAAGCGUGGGGAGCGAACAGG
rnacentral:rRNA from 1 species